GAACCGAUUUUUCUCGUCAUUCAAACGCGCAUAAUUUCCUCACCGUUUGUCGGAUUGAGACGAUUCUCGCGGCUACGAGUCACAAAUUUGGUCAUCUUCAUAGUGAUGUUCGUUUUAUUUCCGAAUUUCGCACCGAUUCACGUUUCCUCGAAAACGAGCAAAAAGAGAUACAUCGGGGGCAUUUUUGACAUUUCACCAUUUAAACUAUAUAAACAAUUUUCCCUCCUUUUCUCUCAUAAUUCCACUUUUACCAAAAAUCACACAAACAAAAACCAAUUCUCACUCACUUCUCUCUAAGAUCAAAAUACCAAAAAAAUAUAGAAAAAAGGGAAGAACACUAUGAACUUCAUAGAAUUCCUCAAGAACACGUAAAGAAAAAGUUUCAGAUCUCUUUCUGAACUCUCUUUUUCCGAUCGCACAUCACUUGUCUCCACACGGUGACCGCGGCACAUCCCUCCGGCGAUUGUCUUCCGACACGACUUCCCCCUCCGGUGCGAAUUCACUUUCCGGUGCAGCAAGCUUCCGACGCGGCAUCUUCCACUUCGUACUUCCGAUCACUUUCUCGUCAUUUCGAUUACGCUCGCUCGCGGGAUCCUAGUUUACUCGCUCUCUUCGCUUUAGUUUACGGAUCAUCAUCCGUUUGGUAUUGAUUUCGUUUCAUUUUAUUUCUCUCGCACUUUAUCGCUUUCCCGCAUCAUCCAAUAACAUGAGAAGUAGGACUUAGACAUGCAUCUGGCCAAGUCCUCGAAAGAGGCUCUGUUUUUGUUGGUGUGUUUAUAUUUGUGCUUUGCGGCAGGGAGUCACGGUGUAAUAAGUCCUAUAUGGCACUCUGUUAAGUCCUCAUGGAAGGCAUGCGGUCAAGGGUUCGUAAUCAACCCCCGCCUAGUCUCAUCGAGUCUGUUUGGUAUGCGCACGCCUCGCGUUGUUUGCUUCCGAACGUGCAAAAGAUCUUGUUAUCGAGUAUGUCAGGUAAAGGGUUCAUGCAGUCGGACCCCCGCCUUUCCUAUAGCUCGCGUCGCUCGACGUUGAUGCUCGGUGUACGCACGCACCGUUUUCCUUUACGAUCCGUGACAGCUUGGUUGCUGAGAGGGGUCCGCCCUCUUGUCUAUGGCCCGAUCAUUUUCACGAGGUCUAAUGCUUGGUUGACUUGGGUUGAGCUGCUCCCCUUGGCUAUGGCGGGACCGCUUUUCUACCAUUCGGUCAGUACCGUUGGUUUUGUUUGCUUCACGAGUGGAUGCUCGUUUGUGUGCUCAUUGUUUGCUUCCCUUUUCCCUCGUAGGUUGAUUAGUUUAGUUUAGACUGAUACCCUUUGUAUGAUAACAUUAGGUAGCAAGCUUUCCCCCUUAGCUUAGGUUUCCCUCAUGCAUUCUUUAAAACACAAACCACACUCUUUGAUUUUUUUUUCUAAGGACUUGUUAUUUCCGCUCCAUUCCCAAGCAUAAGUCUCCAAAGGUCGAGCAGCGGAGUGUGAAUGUAACUUGUCCACCUAAAAAACACAAAACAAACAAAAAUUAGUUAGCCGAGCUACGGUAGCUCUGAUUCUGCAAAAUAGAUACGUAGGCAGCGGGGUAGGGCCCGUGCGAGCACAAUCCUUUCUUUUCCCUACAUUCUGCAUUCAUUUUAGUCCAGAUUAGAGUAGUUUGCUUACACACCCAUAGAUUUAGACACAGGCGUGGAUACCAUCGAGUACGAUGGGCGCGAGGGGUGCUAACACCUUCCCCUCGCGUAACCGACUCCCUUACCCUUUUUCUCUGGUCGUGAGACCGUUGUUUUAUUUUGUGGUUUGCUGGCAUUCCCUUCCUUUUCAGGAUAAAUAUGUUAGUGGCGACUCUGUUAAUUUUCGCGGUAGCGACAGCUGGCGACUCUGCUGGGGACGUCUUGACCUGUUGCUGGUCCGGACCUAGCGAGUCGAUCCUAGCGCUUGUGUGUUUAUCAUUGGGUGUUUUUACUGCUUUGCAUAUUUACCUGUUUGCAUUGCAUUCUAUGUGCGCGUUUACUUUUCUGCAUCAUAUUCUGUACUGGCUGGAUAUCUGUCUGUUGGGUGGGUGUUUCAAGAGGUAAAAGGCCCAAUACCCAGGCUAUGUGUGAACCAUAGGAACCCUAGGAUAGAGUGGGAGCAUGGUUUGUCUCGAGGUGUACGUCUCGGGAUGGAUUAUGUGAACACGAGCAGAGUAGUGGUUUCAAAUGGAGGUAUUAUCGUCACCCGCUUACGCGCUGUGAUGAUGCUUACCUUCGGGCGGACCGUAUACUGCGUUUCAUGACCUUACCUUGGCCUAGAUUUUACCCGUGAGUGGGGCGGGAAUCAAUGAUUAUAUAACAGGUACAUUGUUGGUGACCGCUGUUCUUGUUCGUGGGUUACCGCUGUUCUCGUCCGUGGGUUACCGCUGUUCUCGUUCGAGUGUGCUAUUGGUUCCUGUUCGUGGGGUACUAUGGUUCUAGUUCGAGUGGUAAUCUAUGUUCUAUGGGUUUUGGUUCUAUCGAUUGACAUUCCGUGUUCCGUGUGGUUUACAAUUUGGGGCCUAACCUUUGAACUUGUGCCGUGUGAUCUCUCGGCAUCCCAGAUAUAUCCAGUAUUGUGGUUCCCACCACCUUGCAUCAUUGCAUGUUUACUUUCCAAAAAAUGAUGUACAAAAAAUAACUAGCAUACUAGCAUACGUGUUCCUUCCAUUUCCAAGGAAUCGUGUCUUUAAGUCUCGUGCCGAGCUUUUCUAUCUCUUGCUUUCUAAAAAAAUCAAAUGAGGAUUCCUUGGAAAUCGAAUGAACAUGGCAUUUCACGCAUAUCAUGCAUCUCAUAUAUUUCAUGCAUAACAGGUGUUCAGGAUUGAGGAUUUCUUAUUCAGACUUGAUACUCUCACCAUACUCAGAGACUUGAUUUGUUCUUAUUGUGUGUUCAAAGAUGAGUCAUGAAACAACUUUGUGGGGUGAUCAAGAGGAAAGCUCAGUUGAGGUUCUUGUUGAAGACUUGUCUUAUGCUCACUUGCUUCCAAGCUUGCUUUAUUUGCAAUUGGUUAAGCUUUGUACUAUGUGGUUGUCUACAAGUUCUCUGCUGGAUGAUUAUGACACUAGGUGUGAGUUCUAUCUUGGGGCACCUGGUCGUGAUGUUAGUAUCUACAAGUCUUUGAAAUUGCUUGGGGCUCCCACACGAGGGAUAAGCAAGACAUUGUCUAUCUUGAGCAUUGCACCAUUUGCAUUGCUCGAAUCCCUAAAGCAUUACAAAUUCCGUGUGACUUCGUCGGAAUCUUCUGCCAGAUAGUAAUCAAGAGUGAUCUACAAAGGUACCUCUCAUUCUCAAAGUUCUGCUUCACAUCCUGAGUCACCUCCUCCUCUCUUGGAGUUUCCUUGUCAGUAUCCUUUGCUUGUCAACAGACACGGAAAGAGUAUAAGAAGCAAGCUGAUGUGAUCCUAGUGCCAUUAUGUUCAGUUUCUUCUGUGCUUGAUGGAAUUUCAGUUGGUUAAGAUUCUUGCUUUGGAUCUUUCUCACCACAGAUAGCUCUCCUGAUUUUGAUGACUAUACUCGGUGUUUUCCAUUCUGGGGCACCUGAUCAUAAUGUCAAACCUUACAAGGUGUUGAGGUACAAAGAGUCCAAGACUUGCUCGAUGCAGAGAUGUUUGAGUUUAUUCAUAAUGGUUUCUACUGGUCAAUCCAUUUUCAUCUGCUGCAAGUAGAUUGUUUGUUCUUCCUCGAGGAAGUAACUCUUGAGAAUCACUUGCAAUUGGUACUACGGAGGCUUCCUUCACAAUAUCUAUUGUGUGUUCCAAGUAUUGACUUUGAUAGCCAAGCUUCAGAGGUUAUUGUUGUUCGCUGAUAGUAAUACAAAGUUUCUCCAUUCAUGAUGGUGUUUUCUGCUUCAGCAACUAUAUUUAGGGCUCCCGACCGAAGGAUAAGCAAGACUCCGUGUUCUUGAGUUCGCAUCAUUGGCAGCUCAAAUCCCUAAAGCAUUCACAAAAUCCAUUCGCUGUAUUUGGGUCUCCCGACCGAGGGAUAAGCAAGACGCCUUGUAUCUUGAGUUUGUGCACCACUUGCACAUACUCAAAUCCCUAAAAGCUGAGCACUUGCAACUUCUGUAUGACUUUGCCGAAAUCUUCUUCCAGGAAGUGAUCUUAAAUGUUAUGGCGUAAUGCUUGGUGUGCUUUCUACUCUGGGGCACUUGGUUAUCUGAUUGAAGAUUGUCAGACAUUCAAAGAUAAGGUUCCAGACCUGAUUGAAUCAAAGGCCAUCACAUUCGCACCUAAAGGCCAGAAUUGAAGUUCUCCUUUGACUUAGCGAAUCUUCUGAAGCAACAAGUCCAUACGGAGAGGAUCUCCUCAACAUUGCCAACUACUGAAUCAUCAUGCAUGUUCAUGUUUAAGCUUUCUUGCUUUGUUCAAUACUGGUUGCAUGCAAAACUUGUUUGUUUUUGAAUUAUAAUAAUAAUGCAUUGGAUAUGUUUGUCUUGGAAAAAUCCAUUCGCUUUUGCUCUUAUAUGUUUUCUUUGCUUUUUGUGAUACCUAACUCUUGUUAACAAAGCACGAUAACUCUGUAGGGAGAAUGAUGAACAUAAUACCAAGAAUCUCAAAUGGUAUGCUUUUGAGUAGAACCCUGUUGAUGAUGUACAGGCAUUGUUUCAAAUUCCCAAACACUGGAGAUAUAAGGGAGAUAGACCUUCGUCAACCCUUCUGAGCCUUCGAAGUAGGAGUUUCUUUUCUAUGCAGAAAAAACCCUUAUUUUAACCCUGGGGCAGGGUAGUAUUCAGUUAACCUGAUCGAGCAUUCUAAAUUCAUCAGGAGCACACAUAUAAGGAUACAACAAUGGCUAUCUUUUAAAAGGUUGAGGAAAGUCAAAUCCACAACGGUUAUCCCUCACCUCAGGAGGUUGAGACAUCAAAUUUAUCCCUCACAUCAGGAGGUCGAGACCAAUCAAAGUCGUUGUGGUUUAUCCCUCACAUCAGGAGGUCAAAGGAUGAUAGUACCACAAUGGUAAUUCCUCAUUAAUCAAAGACUCAGGCAGUCACUAUGCACUUCCAACAAUUCAGAGAUUCAGGAUCACACGACUUGUUCAAAAGAAAAGAAUAAAUCAAAAAAAGAAGAAAAGCCCGCUAAGUCAACAACUUGAAAACAAGUGACUUAGGCAAAAGUUAGGGCAUCCCGCUGGACAUCUAAAUCAAAAUUCAAACGAAUUUGUCCAGGCAAAAGUUAGGGAAACGAAAAAAAAGAAAAGCAAAAAAAAGAGAAAAACAAGGAUUACAAAAUAAAGAUCCUCAACAAAGAACAAAGUCGUGUGGUCAGACACCAAAAAAGAAAGGAAAAGUGAUUGUCGCGUCCAAAAGACCUCAUUGAUUCCUCAAUCAUUUCCAAACUCCUCUUGAAAGAUGAAUGCUCGUGUCAAGUUAAUUGAACUUAGGACUGGAGAACAUCACGAAGGGGGUGGGCACCAAAUAAUUUUGAGCCUAAAAAUCUCUUUUUCUAAAAAACCGUGAACCUGGCCACGUUACAACCCUUAAAAGUCCUAACUGAAGCAUGGGUUAAUUUGAAAGAAAACUAUACACGAGAAUACGGUAAGCUGACUCCUAAGAGAUCCGCUAAGCGCUUGAGUUGGUAUCACACCAUCUUUCUUUCUUUCAUAAAAACUCGAUGUUAUGACAUCCUUUCAAAAAGUUUCUUUAAACUUCAAGACAAACAUGCUCUUUGCAUUAGAAUUAUAUUUCUCAUAAUAAACAUUCUUUGCAUGUGAACAAGUGCUUAACAUCAAGAAAGUUUCCAUCAUGAACUUCAGAUGAAAAGUUUAUUCCUCCCAAAGGACAUGUUGUCUUCAGAAUUCUAUUGAGCAGAGGUAGAAAUAUUUCAAAGUCUGAUCCCCUCAGGGGCACAAAAGCAUUUGAUUACUUUGUCGAGCAAGUUUUCACUCAAUCUGAGGAAAUCAGGUCAAGAUUCGAAGAAUCUCUCAAAGUGCUAAGCAAUCAGGGGCAUUCACUCAAGCACAGUCAGACCUACCUACAAUACAAGUCAGACUGGGGCAUGGUGCCAAAAUACUUGAUACUGGGGAAAGUCAGUAUGAUAUUUACAGAAGGUCCUUACGAGAUUAAUCUCUUCAAAGUCCUUACAGGCUAGGGCAAGACACUAUGCAUUGGCAUUUUAUCCUCAUCAGGAGGUGUUCAGUUUAAAGUUCAGGUGUGAGCUAAACAACUUAUGAACUUGAGAACCGUCAAGGUUGUCAUCCUCAACAAUCAGAAUCUGAAAGUCCAAUCUUUAGUGGCAUCUCUUUGCAUUUCAGUGUGAUUUUCAAAUCCCUUCCGGAGGUUGCAAGCGUUGGUUAUUGGUAUCCCUCAACCAGAGUCAUGUCACGUGGACAUCGAGUCCUUGCUUUCCGACCCUCGCGUCGUGAGUUUAUCUCCUCUCCGACCCUCGAGUCGUGAGUUUAUCUCCUCUCCGACCCUCGAGUCGUGAGUUUACCUCCUUUCCGACCCUCGCGUCGUGAGUUUACCUCCUUUCCGACCCUCGAGUCGUGAGUUUAUCUCCUUUCCGACCCUCGCGUCGUGAGUUUAUCUCCUCUCCGACCCUCGAGUCGUGAGUUUAUCUCCUUUCCGACCCUCGAGUCGUGAGUUUAUCUCCUUUCCGACCCUCGCGUCGUGAGUUUAUCUCCUCUCCGACCCUCGAGUCGUGAGUUUAUCUCCUCUCCGACCCUCGAGUCGUGAGUUUACCUCCUUUCCGACCCUCGCGUCGUGAGUGUACCUCCUUUCCGACCCUCGCGUCGUGAGUUUAUCUCCUUUCCGACCCUCGCGUCGUGAGUUUAUCUCCUUUCCGACCCUCGCGUCGUGAGUUUACCUCCUUUCCGACCCUCGCGUCGUGAGUUUAUCUUUUUUCCGACCCUCGUGUCGUGAGUCUAUCUCCUUUCUGACCUUCGUGUCAUGGAUUUCCAACAAUUGCAGAUAGUUGUCAUAUACACUCCAAUGUGUCUGUAGGCCCAUUACUUGAUUAGCAUCUUUACAAUCAACACGAAUAUGCAGAACUAUGAAAGCCAAUGUCUGUUUGGUCCCUUUGAAGUCAACACUUGCUUGACCCAUUAAUCCCACUUAUUGGUGGUGUUCCCUUGAAGGACUAAUUCUUGUUUGAUGCUCCGGCCGAUACUUGUUUGGUGUUCUAAUCAUUGCUUGCCUAUCAGCUCAUUGAAUCCAGUGCCUGUAUGGAAAGUUUCAAAGCCAAGAUGGCUGACAAUCUAUUUGCUCUUGCAUUUGCCCAUUGUGGGUGAGCAUUACCGUUCUCUGCCAUGUGAGGAGACCCUGUGAAAGAUGUCAUGCUAUAUCCCGGGGCAUUUUCAUUUGUUUGUCUCGCAGGUACGUCCUUGCAAGCGCUUUGCAUCAACAUGUUGGCGGACCUAGCCAUGAGAGAUUCUCACUCCCCAGACGAGUGUUUCCUAACGAGAGAUUCUCAUUCCCCAGUGGAUUACAUUCAGAUGAGACUUUCUUUGUUCCAAGAUUCUCAUUUCCUCAGUAAAGCACAUCUUGAUGCAUUCUCCAUGCUACAAAAGUCUUGUUCCCGGUGGAAUGUCUUCUCCCCAGUUGAAUCAUGAUAGAAUGGUAUCUGAUUCCCAGCAGGCUCUUAAUGAGGUCUCUUGCCCGAAUUCCUCGUUCUCCCCAGUAGAGGUUUUCUCCCCCCAACAGAUUGACUUGUUUUCCCCGAGAGAGUCAUCUUAUUCCCUAGUGGAGUUGUCUUAACAAAAGGUUCUUACGCUAAGUUACUUAUCCCCAGCGGAUCUCUCAUAUCCUUAGCAGAUCAUUGUGCAGAGGUAUUCAUCUUCCCCACUGAGUUUUCUUCCCUCAGUAAAGAUUCACAUGCAUCCACAGCAGGAUCUGUUCUCAUCUAGAACUUCCCCAGCGGAAUGCGUCCUACACCAGCAGGUUGUUCACUCCUCCCCAGAGUUAUCUCCACGACUUGCUCUUAUCUCCUCAUCCCCAGAAUGUCGAGAAUUUUCUUCUCCAGAGAAGUUUCCAGGGUGUCCCCUAAGCAGUUAAUUGGGAUGUUCUACUCCCCAAGCAGGAUUUGAUUUCCCAAUCAGAGCUCGCGUCCAGAUUUGGUCGUCUCCAGCAGAUUUCUGAUCCAUCUUUGCCAGCUCACGGUUUGUGACUUCGGGUCACGUAUCUUGUCUUCCUCACAGAGUUCCAUAUUCUCUCCGGGACUGCUUCAGCAACUCAGUGCUCCUCCGUUGUCUCCCCAAGCGACGUCUAAAUCAUGCAUCAUUCACAUUACAUUCUCUAAGCGUGUAGUGAUUCCAUUCUUGGAAUACUAUUCCAUAAAACAUUCAUACAUGCAUCAUGCAUAAAUCAUGUCAUACUUGUCUCUUUUUACAGGAAAGUUAUCAAGUUUCAAAAUGCCUCCCAGAGCGGCUCGCCUAACCAUUACAGGCACUUAUCUUGGGGUUCGAAUUAGAAUAAGGGUGGUACAUUCCUUCUUUAUGCAAGAUGGAAUCCCCUAUUGAUCAAGAGCGCAAAUUUUCGAGUUCAUUCUGGUAUUCAAUCUUCUUCCACCUUAACGGUUCGAAACUUUCGUUUCUCACUCGUCAAGUUCAAGAAGUUUGAAUAGGGGCAGCUGUUGCACCCCAAAAUUUGCCCUCUUCAUUUGAGCCAUAAGUUAAUAAUGACGUUUAUUUCGUCAUUCAAGAAUUGAAGAAAAAUAAUAAAGAGUUUUCAUGGGUUUAAGAAGAUAAGGUGUGAAAAAUGGUUUAAACAGUGUAAAUACGAGAAAAUUCGCAAGUCCUAUUUGGAAGGUGAUAUGAGCUAAGUUCCCGCGUUGCCUCGACUGUUUCGACGAUAUCUACAACUUUCGUGUUUGGCUUAGAAACCAAUUCCAUGAGGAAGGUUGUCGAAUUUUCAAAUUACUGGAGCGUUCGUAGUGAAAAAUGGUGCUGAACCGCAGGUUUUCGGACAAUAAAAAAUUCAUAUCUCACAAUCCGUUCGUCCGAUUCACUAGAAAAUUUAAGUGGAGCUCCGUGUCAUCAUUACCGAGAUUUCAUAUGUUCAGACCGAAGGCCAAUUAUGCACUGGAAAUUCCCAGCAUUUUGAAGAACACCGUAAUCUCUCGGUAAAAAAUGUGUUUUCGGGUAUGUCGCGCCAAGUUUGAAAAUUCAUAACUUCUUCGAUUUUUAUCGUAUGAAGUCCAUUCCAGUGGCAUUCUCUUAGAAAUUUCGUUACCUUCGAUUCUUCGCCACACGUGCUAAGUCAGAUUUCGAGCCGAAGUUUGAGUUUUAUCACUUUUUCUGAACGGUACUCGCAAAAUUCUACACAGUCGCACCAUAUGAACCGAUUUUUCUCGUCAUUCAAACGCGCAUAAUUUCCUCACCGUUUGUCGGAUUGAGACGAUUCUCGCGGCUACGAGUCACAAAUUUGGUCAUCUUCAUAGUGAUGUUCGUUUUAUUUCCGAAUUUCGCACCGAUUCACGUUUCCUCGAAAACGAGCAAAAAGAGAUACAUCGGGGGCAUUUUUGACAUUUCACCAUUUAAACUAUAUAAACAAUUUUCCCUCCUUUUCUCUCAUAAUUCCACUUUUACCAAAAAUCACACAAACAAAAACCAAUUCUCACUCACUUCUCUCUAAGAUCAAAAUACCAAAAAAAUAUAGAAAAAAGGGAAGAACACUAUGAACUUCAUAGAAUUCCUCAAGAACACGUAAAGAAAAAGUUUCAGAUCUCUUUCUGAACUCUCUUUUUCCGAUCGCACAUCACUUGUCUCCACACGGUGACCGCGGCACAUCCCUCCGGCGAUUGUCUUCCGACACGACUUCCCCCUCCGGUGCGAAUUCACUUUCCGGUGCAGCAAGCUUCCGACGCGGCAUCUUCCACUUCGUACUUCCGAUCACUUUCUCGUCAUUUCGAUUACGCUCGCUCGCGGGAUCCUAGUUUACUCGCUCUCUUCGCUUUAGUUUACGGAUCAUCAUCCGUUUGGUAUUGAUUUCGUUUCAUUUUAUUUCUCUCGCACUUUAUAGCUUUCCCGCAUCAUCCAAUAACAUGAGAAGUAGGACUUAGACAUGCAUCUGGCCAAGUCCUCGAAAGAGGCUCUGUUUUUGUUGGUGUGUUUAUAUUUGUGCUUUGCGGCAGGGAGUCACGGUGUAAUAAGUCCUAUAUGGCACUCUGUUAAGUCCUCAUGGAAGGCAUGCGGUCAAGGGUUCGUAAUCAACCCCCGCCUAGUCUCAUCGAGUCUGUUUGGUAUGCGCACGCCUCGCGUUGUUUGCUUCCGAACGUGCAAAAGAUCUUGUUAUCGAGUAUGUCAGGUAAAGGGUUCAUGCAGUCGGACCCCCGCCUUUCCUAUAGCUCGCGUCGCUCGACGUUGAUGCUCGGUGUACGCACGCACCGUUUUCCUUUACGAUCCGUGACGGCUUGGUUGCUGAGAGGGGUCCGCCCUCUUGUCUAUGGCCCGAUCAUUUUCACGAGGUCUAAUGCUUGGUUGACUUGGGUUGAGCUGCUCCCCUUGGCUAUGGCGGGACCGCUUUUCUACCAUUCGGUCAGUACCGUUGGUUUUGUUUGCUUCACGAGUGGAUGCUCGUUUGUGUGCUCAUUGUUUGCUUCCCUUUUCCCUCGUAGGUUGAUUAGUUUAGUUUAGACUGAUACCCUUUGUAUGAUAACAUUAGGUAGCAAGCUUUCCCCCUUAGCUUAGGUUUCCCUCAUGCAUUCUUUAAAACACAAACCACACUCUUUGAUUUUUUUUUCUAAGGACUUGUUAUUUCCGCUCCAUUCCCAAGCAUAAGUCUCCAAAGGUCGAGCAGCGGAGUGUGAAUGUAACUUGUCCACCUAAAAAACACAAAACAAACAAAAAUUAGUUAGCCGAGCUACGGUAGCUCUGAUUCUGCAAAACAGAUACGUAGGCAGCGGGGUAGGGCCCGUGCGAGCACAAUCCUUUCUUUUCCCUACAUUCUGCAUUCAUUUUAGUCCAGAUUAGAGUAGUUUGCUUACACACCCAUAGAUUUAGACACAGGCGUGGAUACCAUCGAGUACGAUGGGCGCGAGGGGUGCUAACACCUUCCCCUCGCGUAACCGACUCCCUUACCCUUUUUCUCUGGUCGUGAGACCGUUGUUUUAUUUUGUGGUUUGCUGGCAUUCCCUUCCUUUUCAGGAUAAAUAUGUUAGUGGCGACUCUGUUAAUUUUCGCGGUAGCGACACACGCCAUCAUCUUCCUCACAAGACCUGCAAUUUUCCUGAUAGAAUUUGCUACGAAAUUGCUACUAAUUCGCUUUGUAGCAAUUUGAACUUGCGACACAAAAAUCACCUACAAGCAAUAUAAAUCCUUCGCGACCAUGAGGUUCUCUUCGUCCAGACCCCCUGAUUCUAACAGUGCCCUUAAUUAUCCCUAAUUUCAUCCAAAACGUAAAACCCCAAAUUCACACCUAUAAACCCUAGAUCGGUCAACAAUGGCAAACCAUGUCGAAAGUGCCCAGAAAUCAAAUUAAAGAUCCAGAAACAUUCAUAGUGUUGAAACAAAGCAUGACAUACCAUCAAAUUCACCUAAAGAUGCAUGAAUUAUGCUAAUCAGUUCAAAGUUUGGAACGACAUACCUUGGCUCGGAGGAGAUUAAUCUGGGGGUGCUGAAGCAGAGUAGCGAUCCUAAUAGCUUUAGAAAUCUUCAGGGAACCUUUUGCAAUCCUUAGAACUCCUUGAGAAGCCCUAAUUCUCCAAAACCGGUUUUGAAUUUUUUUGAUCACUUUUGUGUUCUUGCAGCUGCGUUUUUGUCCAGAAUUUCCACCCCUAAUCCACUGCUCUGACUUGUAUACUUAUAGGAGAACCAAAUUAGGUCAAAAGAAUGAAGCCCAAAGUCCUUGAAUCCAAUAUUGCAAGUUUGUGGAAAUUGAUUUUAUUUUUUUGAAUAAUAACUUUCUAUUUUGGCCAUAUUUGUACCAAUUCUUUCCUCAAUCAAUAGUGCACGAAAAUUAGAUGAUAUUUGAUCAUAAAUAUUGAUUGGAAACAAUCAAAAUGCAUCUUUUGCCAAAAUAUUUGAUUUUCUAUCUUAAUUAAAUCAUAAAAAUGAAAUAAAAUUCUAAAAAAUCAAGUAAUAUAUCCAAUUUCGUGGCAUAUGACUUUGGGUAGCAUAAAUAUCUUGUGGACCAAGUUUAGAUCAUAAAACCAUAGGCCCAUUUGCAAAAUUUCUCAAUUUGAACCUUCUUUUUUCACAUUUGGUCCUCCAAAAUCACCCCACUUUGAUUAAGCAUAUCUCACUCCAUUUUUAAGCUAUGAGGGAGUUCUAAUACUUUUUGGAAACCUCAAGAGGUCCUCUAUAAACCACUUUGGAAUAUAUUUUUCAUUUGGAGCUUUUAUCUUGAUCAUAUCCCCUUUGGGAAAAAAACUGCUUUUGAAGGAUGCUUGAAAAUGACCUGUAAUCCUUUGCAUUGUAUCUCUCAAAUGAAUCAUUUCUAACCCUGGCUUGUGAGAGACAAAAUUGUAGGGAAUCCAAUUUCCUUCAAAAUAGGCUUUGAGUGGGGAAUUUUUGAUGUUCCAUGUGAAAGUUAUGCCCAGUCAAAGUUGGGUUGACUUUCUCCUAAGAAACCCUAAUUUGAACCUUUUUGUAUUUGUUCAUCUCUGAGUUUCUAUUAAUGGAAUCAUGAUCAAUCCUUGAUCAAAUGAUGGUUAUACUUCACAUACUUGAUGUUUGACCAAUGAUCAUAGGUUUGAAUCAUGCUUUGAUUGUAGUUGACCUUCAGGUUUGAAUCAGUUGACUGUGGAUCUUGGGAUUGUUUGAGCAAAGCUUUGGGGUUUGAAUCUUGAACUUUGAAUCAUUGUAAAUGGAAUAUGGAAGGCAAAUUUUGGGGUAUAACAGCUGCCCCUGUUCAAUCUUCUUGAACCUGAAGAGGUAGAAGAUGAUUGGACACUGAAAUGCCCUGAAAUUUGCUUGCGUAGGGAACUUGUCUAAAGCGUACGCUUUUCAGACCUGGAUCAUUUGAUUGUAUCUGAGGAGAGAGGAAGCAAUGUCUUACAUAAGACUACCUGAAGAGGUUCCUGAAUAGGGUAUAUCGAAAGUUGAUGCGAAGAAGCUUAAGCUUUGAACAAUGCUUAGGAAGAAUUGUCUUAGAGAAGACUGACUGAGAAGUUCCUUGAAAGAGCGAGAUAUGUCUUAGAAAAGAUUGGAUAAAUAUUUGAAGAAUAUUACCUAAAGAAGUUGAGAUAUGUCUUAAACAAGACUACCUAGAAAGGAUCAUAUAAAGAAUAUGAUAUGUCUUAAACAGGACUCACCUGGAAAGGCUCUUAGAUAGGAUACGGGAUAUAUUAAACAAGACUUACCUAGAGAGGUUCCUAUAAAGAGAACGAUAUGUUUUAAACAAAACUUCCUAGAAAGGUUCCUACAAAGGACAUGAAACGUUUUAAACAAAACUAUCUAAAAAGAUUCCUAUAAAGGAUAUGGAACGUUUUAAACAAAACUAUCUAAAAAGAUUCCUAUAAAGGAUAUGAAACGUUUUAAAUAAAACUACCUCGAAAGGUUCCUAUAAAGGAUAUGAAACGUUUUAAACAAAACUACCUAAAAAGAUUCCUAUAAAGGAUAUGAAACGUUUUAAACAAAACUAUCUAAAAAGAUUCCUAUAAAGGAUAUGAAAUGUUUUAAACAAAACUACCUAUAAAGGUUUAAGAUAUUCCUUAAACAAGACUGCUUGGGAAGGUUAGGAUGAUUGUCUUGGACAAGACUACCUGGAGAGGUAAGAAAUUCUUAGAUUGCUUCUGGAUUGCCUUUGAAGAAAGACUUGGAAUGAAGUAUUAGAAUUAUAUCUGUGCGUGUUAAGAUUGAAUCGUAGAUACGAUCGUAUUUGCACUGUAAUUGGAUGAUAACAUCCUUUUGAUUAUGAAGUGACCUGAAAAGGCAGCGUUAGCUUUAUGCAAUGUCAUGAUGCAUGUGUCAUGUAAUGAGACUCUCAAAAUAAAUGAGAAUUAUGCAUGUAUGCCUAUCCCACACUGCGGGAUAUAAAUAGUACCAGUGUGGGAAGAUUAAUUAUGCAACAAUGCUCCUAGUGUGACUUCCCGAAUAUCAGAAAUUUGGAGACGCGCCCUUUAUCCUGAAGGAAGGACCUUUAGAGAGAACUCGAAUCUCACCAUGUCUUGCCUGAUAUGCAUUGCCCCAGUGUUUGAAUUCUUGAAAGAUAUGCCCCUGUUUUAGGAAAACCCUCUGGAUGUGGUUUCCCCAUUCAAGAGUCUUUAUCAGGAAUGAUCGUCUUUGCUUAGACCAAUUUUGAGGUCUACUUGAUGCUAAGUGUUGAUUUGAAUGUGACGCAGAUGCUUUUCAGAAUGAGUCAUGCAUUUAGGUUGCAUCCUGACGGACAAUAAUUUGCUGAGUACUUAGGAUGAGAUGAUGCCUUCUAUAAGACUACCUGAAGAGGUUCUUGGAAAGAAAUGGGAGAUUGUCUUAAAUAAGAUCGCGCUUUAAACAAAGCUCAAAGGGAUGUGUUUGUGCAGAGGGUCAAAAUAUUCCUAUAGAGGAUAGAGACUGUUUUUUUUUGUGGUGUUUUAAGCAAAACUUAGGAAAAGAUAUCUUGAAGAAGAUCACCCUAGAAAGGAUGGUGAACUGUCUUAGAGAAGACUUAGUACUUUAAACAAAGUUUGACAAGGUUCUUGAAAGCGUAAGAGAAGUUUGAAUAUGUCUUAAAAGACUAACUAAAAAAGUUGAGAGAUGUCUUACAGAAGACUACCUAGCAAAGGUUCUUGGAAAUGAAUAUGUCUUAGAGAAGACUGUCUGAAAGGGUUUGAAAAUAGAAAGGAUAAGAAGGUGGGUCUUUAAAAGACUGUCUAAAAAAGGCUCCUAGAAAGGGUAAAAAGUAUUUGAAACAUGUCUUAAAGAAGACUAUAUGGACAGAUUGAGAAAUAUCCUAUAAAGGUUCCCGGAAAGGAUGUGAGACUGGCAUUGACACCAUCUGAUACUGAGUGAUCUUUGCAACGUGCCCCCAGGUAAUGGGCUUGCCCCAUGGGCUAUUCAGCGUCUUCGAGAGAUUCUAUGGAUCUUGAUUAGAUUGCCCCAUGUAAAUGGGAUAAUGACGAGUUAUGCCAUGUGUACACAUUAGCCAUCCCAGUCAUGAGUAAGGGAUGUUUCUUCUUUUGACGAGUUUUUAAAGCUACUUCGUCAGUCAGUAGGAUUUUUAGCCAUUAGCCAUGCCCCAUGCAACUUCUCCCUGAUGUUUAAACAUCUGAAACUACAUAGACAAGUGUACUUUGUAAUGAAAUUCAUAAGAUGCGAGUGCAUAUGUUUGUCUUGAAAGUUUAAAAACAUUUUUUUGAAUAAAACGAAGUUUUUUUUUUUUUGUAAGAAGGUGAUAUCAACUCAAAAGUUAUAGUAGACCUUAAGGAGUCGGGAUACCUUUGGUAACAGUAUGCUUUCGAACUAACCAUGCUUCAGUUAGGACUUUUAAGGGUUGUAACCUGGCCUGGUUCACAGUUUUAAGAAACAAGGAUAGUGGCUCAAAGUUUAUUUGUACCCAUCCCCCUCUUCGUGAUGUUCUCCAGUCCUAUGCUCAGUUGACUAUGCGUUUAGUCUCCAAAAGAAUUUGGGAAUUGUGACAUUGGCAUUUAUGAUGGUUCAAAAACCAAAGGUUUAUCUGCAAAGGCAGUCAUUCUCCUUUUUGUAAUUUUUCCUUUUGUCGAAGGUACAUAGUAACCUUUUUUCGACUUUGUUAUCCCUAACUUUUGCCUGAACUGUUUGUCUUAAAACUGCAGUCAGCGGGAUGCCCCAAUGUUGCCUAAGUCUCCUUAAUAGGUUUUGACUCAGCAGGCUUUUACAUUGCUUCCUCUUUUUUUCUUUGCGGAUAUUGACUGCCAGGCUUAAUCAUGACGGAGAACCAUUGGUGGUUAUGUUCAAAGGAACAGUUUGGAAUAAUUAAGUUAACUGAGCAGCUACCCUACCCCAGGUUAUAUAUUAAGGGUUUUAUUUUGUAUGAAGAAAACUCCUACUUCUUUGGGCUCAAAGGGGUUGACGAGGGAUUAACAUCCUUAUAUCUCCAUUAUUUUAGGGAUUGAACAAAUGCCUGUACAUCGUCAACACGGUCUGUUCGAAAGCAUAGUGUAUGAAAUUAUGGUAUCGUUUUCGUCAUUCUCCCUCUAAAGGUGCACGACUUUAACGAGAGUUGAAUAUCACAAAGAAGAAAACCAAGUAAAAACACAGUUUUAAAUAUAGUGAGAACACUAGGAAUGAAUCAAGACAAACGUAAGCAAUGCAUUAAUGAUUUUUUGAAAAGUACAUAGCAUAUGUCGUAAGACUAAUGUUUAAACAAACGGAAAGAAAUUGCAAAUGAAAUCAAAACUAAUGGUCUAAGAAAUCCUCCUUCUAGCCACUUAUGGUGUUAGACUUGCGAGGAUCUUCGAACUCAAUGAGCCCUUCUUCAAUCAAAUCUUGGAUCUUGUGCUUCAACGGCCCACAAUCCUCUGUAUCAUGACCAGGACUAUCUGAAUGAUAAGCGCACCUAGCAUGAUGCUUGUACCCGGGAGCGGGGUUAGCUGGAGCUGAGUAUGGAGGUAGCAGAGUUACCAAGUUCUGACUGAGCAGACGUUGCAAAGCUUGAGACAGUGGCAUGUACAACGGGGUGAAUGAUCGUUUUGGCUUGGACCUCCAGGUGCGUUGGCCACCCUGGUGCUUUUGCUGAUCCCUUUGCUGUGAUACUGGGGUCUGAUUACCCAUGAUUGCCCCCACAGUGUUGGAUUCCUUCUUUUCGUCAUAUGACUUCUUUGGAUGAUAGGAACCUGAGGGUGCCCUUUGUAUCUUCCCAUUUUUGAUUCCAUCUUCAAUCCUCUCACCAAUGACUACCAAGUCCGAGAACCCUGAAGAUAUGCUUCCGACCAUCUUGUCGUAGUAUGGUCCUUGCAAGGUGCUCAUAAAUAUGUCCACCAGUUCUUUUUCCAUUAGGGGAGGUUGGACUCGAGAAGCCAUUUCCCUCCACCUUUGGGCAUACUCCUUGAAUGAUUCAUCCUUCUUCUGUGACAUGUUUUGUAAUUGCAUCCGAUUGGGUGCCAUGUCCAAGUUGUACUUGUACUGCUUCAAGAAUGUGUUAGCCAGAUCAUUCCAGCUUCUGAUAUAGGAUUUCUCCAGUUGCAUAUACCAGUCAAUAGACGCUCCGCUUAAACUUUCUUGGAAGAAGUGUAUCAUCAGUUUUUGAUCAUGAGCAUAGGCAGCCAUUUUUCGCACAUACAUGCGCAAGUGAUUCCUCGGACACGUGAGCCCUUUGUAUUUCUCGAAGUCUGGAAUCUUGAAUUUGUGUGGGAUAGUCAAGUCUGAGACUAAGCUCAUUUCGAAGGUAUCCACGUCGAAGGCAUCGUAUCCUUCUACCACUUUUAGUCUCUCUUCCAGCGCCUUGAUUAGUUCACUAUCCUUGGAGUCUUCCCUAGAGUCAGGAUUAGACUGUUGCGUCCGAGGUGCUUGGUCUGUAUUGUCCACCUCUUGCACUCCGUACUGUAGAUCCAGGUACUCUUCAUCCCUAGGGACAUUGCUAGCAGGAAUGCGAACUGUGCGGGUUGCCCCUUUCGUUUGUGGAGUGGGGACAAAUCCUUCUUGGGAGGUCUCUCCUUUCUCUUGGAACUGGAUAGCUCUCCUGACAGAUCGGGCCUGAGAUUUGUCCUUAGCUGGGCCAAAGCCUGAAGCAAACCCUAGCAGCGGGUUUUCGUCAUUAGGUGUAGAUGUUUUGAUUGGCUGCAUUUUGUGGUAAAACAUUCAUGUGUAUUCUGUUGUCUUGACUAAGGUCAUGACAUGUGGUGUGUAGUGUUAAAGGUUAUGCAGGUUCUGGUUGUAUAAGCUAAUACAUGCUGUGAGUUGGAUGUCAUGCUCGACGUCAUGACAUCAGUGUUUGACAGCAGCAGCUGCUACAUUUUCUAUUCUAUUUCUAUUAUGUUUCCUUAUUUAUCUCAGUCUUUAUUUUGGGAAACUAAAGAUUGUGCUGAUUGUACAUCAGUAAUAGAACAAAUCAUGGGCUGUCUUUUUGGCACCCUGAUACGUGAGAAGCUGAGAAUUGAAGUGAAGAAUACUGUUUGCUGUGAUUUAUGCAGAACAUGGAAUGUCACGACAUGCUCUGUGACAUCAGUAUUUGACAGCAGUUACUGUUAUAUUUAGCUGUCACGCGUCUGCUGAGCUGGAAUAUAAAGAUUCAGUUUUGGUUUUAAAAGAUGCAGAAUAUUCUUUGGAAUAUUAUGCAAUCCUAUGUGGCAGGUUUAAAGGUCAAGAGAAUCAAGAUUAGAAUAUUGGAGAAUUAUGCAGUUUCCAAUUAUGAAGAUAAAUUAGGAAACUUAUGAUUGAAGACCUUGUUUUUAGCAGAAAGUUUUCUGUGAUUUGUAACAGCAAAUAAUGUUGUGAUUGUAAGCCCAAGUCCAGUUGGGAAUAUGUUAUAAAUAGGAAACUUUGUAACCUAGUUUUGUAAGCUAGCCGGCGUUUAGAAAGAUGUAACUAUUAGGGUUAGCCGUGUAGGUGAACCUCCCGGUUUGUGGGAAGGUCACUGAUUUGUGCCUCGAAGCCUGUAGGUAAGAGGUUUGUUUUAUUCACUCAGAAGUUGUAAAGAAAUGAGUGGAGUUGUGUGCUUGGAGGAAGCUUUGAAGCAACUCUAAGAUAUGUUUAUUUGUGUGUUUUGAAUGUUGGUAAUUAAGCCGUCGAUGCAGUGGCUGAGGUGUUGACUGCUAGACAUCAUUGGUAUGAUUGGGAGUGGAAUGGAGAUAUUCCAUAUCUAGGGAGAACCUAGGUAGAGGGGUCAUUGGGUAGUGAUUAAGUGAGGAGUUGUAAACUGGGAGUUUAGCUCUGAAUUGAUACUGCUAAUAGUGGACUUCAUCCCUGGCUUGGUAUGCCCCCAGAGUAGGUUGAUUGAACCGAACUGGGUGAACAAUUCUGUUGUGUUGUUUAUGUUUCUGCAUUGUUUAUUUGUAAGUUCAGUUUGGAUGUCAUAACAUCGUGCCUGACAUCAGUGUGUGAUUUAAUGACUGUGCUAACACAGAAUCUCUGUGAUUCCAACACUUCCAGACUUCUGGAUGUUAGAAGUAAUAAAUAAUUGAGGGAUCUGUAUGUACUGCCUCAGCUAAACUGAUGACAGACCAGAUGUCACGACAUCGUAUAUGACAUCCGGGUUCUGUCUUACCAGAAUUUCAAUUGGUAUCAGAGCAGGCAUCCUGUCUGUUUCUGGAUGAGAUCCAUGGGAGAUACUUUCUGGUUGUUGGAGGUAGUUGAUUGUUUGAACAUUCAUGUUCAUAUUGAAUGGUCCCUAGAAGUGGAGGAUGGACCUAUGUGUGGAAGACUGAACCAAACUGACCAUAACAGGUGUAUUCUCUUGGCAAGGGAAGAUGGUGUUACUGAUUUCAAGGAUAUCCAAAUGAUUCAUGCGGGAGUGAAGAAUUUGGGGUGUUUUAUUCAGCAUAUAGCAAGGUACAGAGAAGAAGAUUGUCAAAACCUUCAUGCGGGAGUGAAGUUAAUGAUAAGGUAUUCUUUGUGCUUAUCUGUUUCUUUCUGGUCAGAAUAUUGGUUAGGUCUUGUUGUGAUUGCUUGAAGAAGAAGCAAGCAUAUUGUUGGAUUGUUCAGCUGCAAUUCUUGGAUGUCAUGCUUACAACUGGUUUUGGGAGCAAGCACUGUGUAAUCUCUGUUGAUAUAUGGCUAUUUUCUGCUGCAUAGCAUCUGAUGCAUAAUCCUAUCUUUGAAAGAAGAUCUCUAGGGUUAUAUGGUUUUCAACAGAAUUUGUAGCAGAUUGUUUUCAACUUUAGUACAAGUGUCAAAGAUACUUGAGAUUUUUUUUCUCAAGUCCACUCAUAAAGGCAUGGUUAUUGAGGUUGAAGAGGUUCAUAUGAUCAGUGUUCCUCAUGUUCAUCUGCAAAGUUGUUUGAUAAUCCUCAAGAUUGUCAAGAAUUGUGUGUUCCAAGAAGAAGGAACUGAUGGCAUACUGGUAUGCAGCUACCAGUUGAAGAACAGAUGUUCUGGUGCUAAACUUAUGUAGUGUGAGUACAUUUGUUUGGAACCUACUCCUGAUCUGGAAGAGGAGACAUCUGCUUUUUGUGUUGAUUGGUCAGAAUACAAUCAAUUGAACCUUCCAUCCCAAAUGUUAGUUUAUUUCAGGCAUAAGCUUAUGGGAGUUGGAAGAAGAGCUCAGUGCAAGUGAAAGGAUUCAUUCAGGUUUUCUUUUCAAGACCUCUAUGAAAAUUCAAGAUGAGCUUAUAUCUGGUAUGUUCUUUUGAUCAAAGGAACCAGAUGCGUGAAUUGUUUUCUUAACCAUAGAACAGUUAGUGGUGAAAACUGAAUACUGUGUAUCGUGCAUAGUGAAAUAUGGUUUUGAAUAUUGUGUGAUGAUUCUAGGGAGUCAGAUUACUGUGUGGAAUCUGAGGUAUUUUCAGGAGUUAUGUCAUAAGUGAAUCUGUUCCAGAAACCUUGUUGAGAUAUGGCAUAUAUUAUCCCUUAAUCAUGAAUGAAGUGUAGCUGUCUGAUGCAAAGGUUAUUGUUUUAGACCUGAGGUUUAUUGAGGAUAAAUUUUAGUUGUUUUUCGCUGCAUGGUAUCUCUGUUAACCAUGGUUUAUGUAAGUAUAGUAUCCUCAACUGGUGUAUGAAGUAUGUAUAGGUAUAACUCAUGGAGUUAGUUGCCUCUAGUAGGGAUGUUGUAUAAUGAGACUUUUAUGUACAAUGCAUGGAUAAGCUGUGUGGAGUUUCCAUGAUUGCUUGUUUGAGGGGGAGAUUUGGUUAACCUCCCCACGUCUGAUUCAGCCUUGUGUUUAGUUGGUUGUUGAACGGUGUCACAUGGGUUCUGGUUGUUGUGUGACACAUUUGUAAGGAAAGAUUCAUCUCUCUGUUUCCUAAGGGUGAAUCUAACUGGGAAAGGAUUUAAGAUCAAUUGUUAUUUGUGCAAAGUACAAGUAUUUAAUUGAUUAUACUUGGAAGUUCAAGAUAACUGAUGUUCUUAAAGAUGUUGGAACAUCUCUUCUUCAAGACCAUGUACAGGAAGGAUAGUGCAAUUGUUUUAAGAUCUAUCUCUUUGGUGGCAGCAGAAGCAUGUGAUCACUGAAAAAGGUUUCCUGGCAAGAAACAUGUUCAGCUUUGGAGUGCACAAGAAGAAGAAGACAUCAUAAUCUUGAUGGUGGUUACUUGGAUCAGUUUAUUUCUGAUCUAGGUAAGAAAGUGCAUUGGCUAAUGCACACUGUGAAGUCAAGAACAAGUGGCAGUAUUCUUGACAUCAUGGAAAUAGCUUUGCUCAAGGAAGUGGCAUCCUUGGUACAGCUAGAGGAUUAGUCUCUAACUAGUCCUUCUGAUGACUCAUGCAUCAGAGUGUCUGAUGUUGUUGGAAAAGAAGCAGGGAUUCAUAAAAGUGUGAGCUUGGAUGACAUAACUGCAUAACUGCAGGAUGGAGGUUGCGUACUCAAACUUGGUUUCACAAUCAGGUCUAUGAGAGCAUUGAACUCUGGUUCUGUAAAGGGAGGAAGUUCUUUCAAGUGGCAGAAGAAGGAGCUGAAUUCAACAGCUAGAUGUUAAAACACAAUGUGUUGACAUUUGGUUCAUCUCAGAAGUGGGAUCGAAGGAUCAAGAUAAUCAACAUAUGGCAGCUGAUUAUUCUUGAGGAUAGUCUUAGACAAAUUACUUUUGGGCAGAAGAGUAAUAAGUUGAAGACAAAAAGGAGGUGUUUUCUAUUCACCUCUUGGAGCUUGUGGUAGAAGUUAUGAGCUAUCUAUGAAAGAGUGCAUCUUGUAAUAUAGAUCUCCCAUUGAGGGUGACUUAUUGUAUUCUAAUCAAGCUGGUGGCGAAGUGGUAUCUAAAGAUUAUCAGAUGGUGUUUUUUGUGUGUCGUGGUCAUGUCAUGCAGAGUAACUUUUAAGGGGGAGCUGUACGUUGCUUUGGCAACAUUUAUGACCAAACAGGGGGAGAAGAGAUUGUCACCCCAGAUCAUAUUGAACAAGUUAUUUCUAUUCAUGGUAUGUGAUAGUGUAGCUUGUGGAACUUAUUCAGCAGGUCUGAUGUUUUGAUGUGCUUUAGCAAUUCUGCAUAACUGGUAGUUUGCUAGUUGUUUUUGUGCUGCUGUGAUGACAGAAUGUUUUAGCCAAAAAUUUGCCAAAGGGGGAGAUUGUAGAUGUUUUGAUUGGCUGCAUUUUGUGGUAAAACAUUCAUGUGUAUUCUGUUGUCUUGACUAAGGUCAUGACAUGUGGUGUGUAGUGUUAAAGGUUAUGCAGGUUCUGGUUGUAUAAGCUAAUACAUGCUGUGAGUUGGAUGUCAUGCUCGACGUCAUGACAUCAGUGUUUGACAGCAGCAGCUGCUACAUUUUCUAUUCUAUUUCUAUUAUGUUUCCUUAUUUAUCUCAGUCUUUAUUUUGGGAAACUAAAGAUUGUGCUGAUUGUACAUCAGUAAUAGAACAAAUCAUGGGCUGUCUUUUUGGCACCCUGAUACGUGAGAAGCUGAGAAUUGAAGUGAAGAAUACUGUUUGCUGUGAUUUAUGCAGAACAUGGAAUGUCACGACAUGCUCUGUGACAUCAGUAUUUGACAGCAGUUACUGUUAUAUUUAGCUGUCACGCGUCUGCUGAGCUGGAAUAUAAAGAUUCAGUUUUGGUUUUAAAAGAUGCAGAAUAUUCUUUGGAAUAUUAUGCAAUCCUAUGUGGCAGGUUUAAAGGUCAAGAGAAUCAAGAUUAGAAUAUUGGAGAAUUAUGCAGUUUCCAAUUAUGAAGAUAAAUUAGGAAACUUAUGAUUGAAGACCUUGUUUUUAGCAGAAAGUUUUCUGUGAUUUGUAACAGCAAAUAAUGUUGUGAUUGUAAGCCCAAGUCCAGUUGGGAAUAUGUUAUAAAUAGGAAACUUUGUAACCUAGUUUUGUAAGCUAGCCGGCGUUUAGAAAGAUGUAACUAUUAGGGUUAGCCGUGUAGGUGAACCUCCCGGUUUGUGGGAAGGUCACUGAUUUGUGCCUCGAAGCCUGUAGGUAAGAGGUUUGUUUUAUUCACUCAGAAGUUGUAAAGCAAUGAGUGGAGUUGUGUGCUUGGAGGAAGCUUUGAAGCAACUCUAAGAUAUGUUUAUUUGUGUGUUUUGAAUGUUGGUAAUUAAGCCGUCGAUGCAGUGGCUGAGGUGUUGACUGCUAGACAUCAUUGGUAUGAUUGGGAGUGGAAUGGAGAUAUUCCAUAUCUAGGGAGAACCUAGGUAGAGGGGUCAUUGGGUGGUGAUUAAGUGAGGAGUUGUAAACUGGGAGUUUAGCUCUGAAUUGAUACUGCUAAUAGUGGACUUCAUCCCUGGCUUGGUAUGCCCCCAGAGUAGGUUGAUUGAACCGAACUGGGUGAACAAUUCUGUUGUGUUGUUUAUGUUUCUGCAUUGUUUAUUUGUAAGUUCAGUUUGGAUGUCAUAACAUCGUGCCUGACAUCAGUGUGUGAUUUAAUGACUGUGCUAACACAGAAUCUCUGUGAUUCCAACACUUCCAGACUUCUGGAUGUUAGAAGUAAUAAAUAAUUGAGGGAUCUGUAUGUACUGCCUCAGCUAAACUGAUGACAGACCAGAUGUCACGACAUCGUAUAUGACAUCCGGGUUCUGUCUUACCAGAAUUUCAUUAGGGAUCUCAUCCUGAACCAGGGUAUCCCCAGACUGAACCUCUUUUGCUUUGUCUUGUUUAUCUAGGAGGGCCCUCAUGAAUUCUAGCAUCGGAACCAUCCCUCCUUUAACCUCUUCCACGCUAACCUUUAGUUGAUCCACUUCCUCACAAAGGGCGGCUUGAUUCUGUUCCAGUUGAUCCAUUGAUUUCUUCUGCUGAAACCUUGUUUGAUAAUAUGGGCGGGAUGUUAGAUUAUCCUUCCCAAUGGUUCCUUGCUCUUGAGAUAGGAGAGAAAUCUUCUCUUAAUGCCAUGAAAAUGAUGUGCAUGCCAUGCAUGAUAUGUAUGAUAUCCCUUUUUCUUUCUUUUUUUUUUGAAUAAAAUAUGAUGCAAGAAUGCCCAUGAUGUAUGAUGCAUGAAAACACAAAGAUGUAGCAACAAACAAAAACCAAAAACAAAUCAUAUAAGGCAAAGAUGCAAAUCAUAUCAUAAUAUUUCAAGAAAUCCAGGUUCAUAGGUUCGACGUAGCGGCUCUUGGGAGCCAACCUUUUUAUAGGGGUGUUCUAGAAGGUCUCAUGAGGUCGUUCGUAGCCUCCGAGACUUUUUCGUCUCUUCGGAUUUUGGAACAACUCAUUUUAUCCAUGAGGUUCGAAUUUUUGGGGUAGGUUCCCGGAGAGAUCAGCUAAGUAUCCAGUCCAGCCCUCCACAAAGUCAAGCUUCGUUUCGGACCUUUCCAAAUACCUAACCCACUCCGAGUGGAGUUAUCAGUGAGACUCGUAAGGCGAUUCAUGUCCCCUUUUGGUCUCAAAGUUAACCCCCACACUUAAGAUUUAACCGACAUAAAAAUAGAGCAAAUAUAUAAUAAUAAAGGCAAAUAUUUUCAGGCUGAUGAAAACAUAAAACAAAUAAAUAAUUUAAUGUUCAUUAAAAGAUAAACCUCCCCCCAAACCCUAAAUGUGGCAAUUUGCCAACCCUAAAGUGCGCCACAAACCCUAAACCACAAACCACGAGCCAUAAACCUAAACCCACUCAAGCCUUAGGAGCAUAAUAAUUAACUAAAAGUGUUGUCCCCAGCAGAGUCGCCAACUGUAGCAACCUGCCCUAAAAAUUUAGAGAUUAGAGUCGCCACCUAUUCUGAAGGGCGAAUAGGAAACCCUACGCAGAUACGAGAUUCAGGGUAAGUUAUUAUAAUCAGGUUGAGGGAAGGUGUUAGGCACCCUCAACCCUUUCCUAAAGGCUAACAUCUCAAAGAUAAAGGUUUAUGGCAAAAGAUAAAGAAAGAUGACAGACAGUUAAUAGAGUUGAAAGGCUAAUUAUAUGAACAUGAUUAGAGUUUGGAAGAGGGGGACUCGCCUUGUUGCCAAGUGCCUACGUACCUCCUUAUAGAGGAUCAGAGUCUACGUAGUUCGGGGACAGGGUUGUACACCUUAGAAUUGAAUUUGAUUAGAGAUGUGUUUUUUAGAGGCUUUUUGAAUGGCCUAUCGUAGUUUGAUGAUUCUGUAGUUCUGAAUGGAUUUUAGAAAUAUUUUAAGGUUCGGGCGUACAACCCGGAUUUGGCACAAUUAACCGCAAUGAUCAAUAGGUUUGAUCACCAUAGUUAAGAGAUUAGGGGUUUUGCACCAUUACCAAUUCAAACCGAUUGAUUCGAUUAUCACCAAUAAUGACUUAAUGUGUUUUAUUAUGUUUUGUGAAUUUUAUUUUGUAUUGUUACCCCUCAUAAUCGAUUAAUACGAUUACAAAUAAUAACAAAUUAAAUUUAGAACGAGGGAGGAUUAAUCAUCACAAUCAAUAAGAUAAUUGCAACCAUUUAAUCGAAUAUAAUUUGAUUUGUAUUUUAUUUAAAUAGAAUUUUUAAUUAAAAUUAUCGUUGACCAUAACGAUUAAUCGAUUUAAUCGGCACGAACAACAAAUUGACAUUUUAAUAUAAAUAUCACAUAAUAAUUUAUUUAUAAAAAAUAAUUAUUAUAUAAUUAACAUAUAUUAAAAGGUAUUUUAAUUAAAACAAAAUAAAUAAUUAAAAUUAUAUUUAAGUUAAUUAGGACUCAGAUUCAAUAUGGCAGCUUUGAGGGUGUAUGAUAUGGACAUUAGAUCUGGGGCGUGAGAUCUACUUGGAUGGAGAAUCCUAUGGUCAGCUAUGGAGGAUGUAUGGUGAGGCCUAUGGACAUGUGCACGUGGGAUCAGGAGUUUGGAAAUUUAGAAAAAAUAUAUGUGGGAGAUGGGGUUCGAACCCACACCCUCUCCCUUGCCAGCACUCACUCUUACCAACCCAACCAAACGCUUUAGUCGUUUGAAACACGCGUCUGAUACAUAAUAUCUGAAAAUCCCAGGACACAAUGAAAACACGCGCCAGUUUUCAAACGGACCAACAAGAUGAUGACACGCCAUCAUCUUCCUCACAAGACCUGCAAUUUUCCUGAUAGAAUUUGCUACGAAAUUGCUACUAAUUCGCUUUGUAGCAAUUUGAACCUGCGACACAAAAAUCACCUGCAAGCAAUAUAAAUCCUUCGCGACCAUGAGGUUCUCUUCGUCCAGACCCCCUGAUUCUAACAGUGCCCUUAAUUAUCCCUAAUUUCAUCCAAAACGUAAAACCCCAAAUUCACACCUAUAAACCCUAGAUCGGUCAACAAUGGCAAACCAUGUCGAAAGUGCCCAGAAAUCAAAUUAGAGAUACAGAAACAUUCAUAGUGUUGAAACAAAGCAUGACAUACCAUCAAAUUCACCUAAAGAUGCAUGAAUUAUGCUAAUCGGUUCAAAGUUUGGAACGACAUACCUUGGCUCAUAGGAGAUUAAUCUGGGGGUGCUGAAGCAGAGUAGCGAUCCUAAUAGCUUUAGAAAUCUUCAGGGAACCUUUUGCAAUCCUUAGAACUCCUUGAGAAGCCCUAAUUCUCCAAAACCGGUUUUGAAUUUUUUUGAUCACUUUUGUGUUCUUGCAGCUGCGUUUUUGUCCAGAAUUUCCACCCCUAAUCCACUGCUCUGACUUGUAUACUUAUAGGAGAACCAAAUUAGGUCAAAAGAAUGAAGCCCAAAGUCCUUGAAUCCAAUAUUGCAAGUUUGUGGAAAUUGAUUUUAUUUUUUUGAAUAAUAACUUUCUAUUUUGGCCAUAUUUGUACCAAUUCUUUCCUCAAUCAAUAGUGCACGAAAAUGAGAUGAUAUUUGAUCAUAAAUAUUGAUUGGAAAAAAUCAAAAUGCAUCUUUUGCCAAAAUAUUUGAUUUUCUAUCUUAAUUAAAUCAUAAAAAUGAAAUAAAAUUCUAAAAAAUCAAGUAAUAUAUCCAAUUUCGUGGCAUAUGACUUUGGGUAGCAUAAAUAUCUUGUGGACCAAGUUUAGAUCAUAAAACCAUAGGCCCAUUUGCAAAAUUUCUCAAUUUGAACCUUCUUUUUUCACAUUUGGUCCUCCAAAAUCACCCCACUUUGAUUAAGCAUAUCUCACUCCAUUUUUAAGCUAUGAGGGAGUUCUAAUACUUUUUGGAAACCUCAAGAGGUCCUCUAUAAACCACUUUGGAAUAUAUUUUUCAUUUGGAGCUUUUAUCUUGAUCAUAUCCCCUUUGGGAAAAAACUGCUUUUGAAGGAUGCUUGAAAAUGACCUGUAAUCCUUUGCAUUGUAUCUCUCAAAUGAAUCAUUUCUAGCCCUGGCUUGUGAGAGACAAAAUUGUAGGGAAUCCAAUUUCCUUCAAAAUAGGCUUUGAGUGGGGAAUUUUUGAUGUUCCAUGUGAAAGUUAUGCCCAGUCAAAGUUGGGUUGACUUUCUCCUAAGAAACCCUAAUUUGAACCUUUUUGUAUUUGUUCAUCUCUGAGUUUCUAUUAAUGGAAUAAUGAUCAAUCCUUGAUCAAAUGAUGGUUAUACUUCACAUACUUGAUGUUUGACCAAUGAUCAUAGGUUUGAAUCAUGCUUUGAUUGUAGUUGACCUUCAGGUUUGAAUCAGUUGACUGUGGAUCUUGGGAUUGUUUGAGCAAAGCUUUGGGGUUUGAAUCUUGAACUUUGAAUCAUUGUAAAUGGAAUAUGGAAGGCAAAUUUUGGGGUAUAACAGUAUGCUUGACUUUUGACUUUUUUGUUGAAGGCUUUGAUCAUACGCUUUUGGUAUAGCUGACCAUGACAAAUAGCUGCGAGCCUUUUCUCAUCAAUCAAGUUUAUCUGGUCCAACCGUGUUUGAAUCCAAUCGUCUUCGUCUAGAUUGGCUUCUUUCAUAAUCCUUAGGGAAGGAAUCUGAAUUUCAAUUGGAAGAACUGCCUCCAUACCAUAGACUAAGGAAAAUGGAGUUACCCCUGUUGAAGUACGCGCAGAUGUGCGAUAACCAUGAAGAGCAAAAGGUAACAUCUCAUGCCAGUCUUUGUAGGUUACUGUCAUUUUUUGUAUGAUUUUCUUGAUGUUCUUGUUGGCAGCUUCCACCGCGCCGUUCAUCUUUGGUCGAUAUGGAGAAGAAUUAUGAUGUUUGAUCUUGAACUGUGUGCAAAGUUUAGUAAUCAUUCUGUUGUUUAGAUUUGUGCCAUUGUCCGUGAUAAUCCGUUCAGGGAUGCCGUAUCGACAAAUGAGAUUGUAUUUGAUGAACCAGGCCACCACAUUCUUGGUAACCGAAGCAAAUGAAGCUGCUUCUACCCACUUUGUGAAGUAGUCAAUAGCGACCAGGAUAAAGCGAUGUCCGUUGGAGGCAGUAGGUUUGAUUUCUCCAAUCAUAUCAAUACCCCACAUUGCAAAAGGCCAAGGAGCCGUCAGGACGCUUAAUGGAACUGGAGGUACAUGUACUUUGUCAGCGUAUAUCUGGCAUUUGUGACAUGUUCGGGAGUGAUGAUGGCAGUCUGUUUCCAUGGUAGACCAGUAAUAACCUGCUCUCAGGAUUUUUUUAGCCAUUGUAUGUCCACUGGAAUGAGUACCGAAGGCACCAUUGUGUAUUUCUUCCAUGAUCUGUUCUGCUUCCUCCUUGUUUACACAUCGAAGUAAAGUCGAGUCAUGGUUGCGUUUGUAUAAGGUUCCAUUGCUUAGAAAGAAUUUGGCAGCAAAUCUCCUUAGAAACUUUCUGUCGUUAAUGGAUGCCCCUUCAGGGUACUCCUGAGCUUCGAGAUAUCUUUUUACUUCAUGGAACCAUGGUUUUUCUUUUGUUCCCUCGGUAUUGAUCUCAUUGCAAUAGGAUGGUUCAUCUUGCCUGUAAAUGGUGAUCAUAGGCGCCUCGUUGUCCCACCUGACUUUGAACAUGGAUGACAUGGUGGCUAAAGCAUCAGCUAGUUGAUUUUCCUCGCGUGGGAUGUGUUCGAAAGUGAUCUCUUCGAAGUAAGGAAUCAAACUCAGCACAUAUUCUUUGUUAGGAAUUAGAUUUGGGUGCUUCGUGUCCCAUUCCCCUUUGACUUGGUAGAUUACCAAGGCCGAGUCUCCGUAGACUUCCAGGAAUUUGAUUCUUAGAUCGAUUGCAGCUUUAAGACCCAGAAUACAUGCUUCGUAUUCGGCUAUAUUGUUAGUGCAAUUGAAGCAUAAUCUGGCAGUGAAUGGUGUAUAACCUCCUGCGGGGGAAAUGAUCACAGCUCCGAUGCCAUUACCAAGUGCAUUAGAAGCUCCGUCAAAAACCAUAGUCCACCGGGAUCCUGGCUCGGGUCCUUCUUCUGGUCCUGGUUGUUUGUAGCCAUUGACUAGCAUAAUGUUUUCGUCUGGGAAGUCAAAGUUCAAUGCUUGAUAAUCAUCUACUGCUUGAUGAGCCAGAUGAUCAGCUACCACACUUCCUUUGAUUGCUUUUUGUGAAGUGUAUUGAAUGUCAUAUUCUUUUAAGAUCAUUUGCCAUCUCACUAUUCUUCCAGAGAGAGCAGGUUUUUUGAACACGUACUUGAUGGGAUCCAUCUUGGAGAUUAGGAAAGUGGUGUGAUUUAGCAUGUACUGUCUUAGUCGGCGAGCCGCCCAAGCUAAGGCACAACAAGUUUUUUCGAGUAGUGAGUAUCUUGUUUCACAAUCGGCAAACUUUUUGCUAAGAUAGUAGAUUGCGUGCUCCUUUCGGCCGGAUUCGUCAUGUUGUCCUAGUACACACCCCAUUGAGUCUUCUAACACAGUUAGGUACAUUAUCAGAGGUCUGCCUUCCAAAGGUGGCAACAAGAUUGGAGGUUUUUGGAGAUAUUCUUUGAUUUUGUCAAAGGCUAACUGGCAUUUGUCAUUCCACCUUUCCACUUGAUCUUUCUUCAACAGUUUGAAGAUCGGCACACAAGUAGUAGUCAUGUGGGCAAUAAAUCGGGCGAUGUAAUUUAGACGUCCCAAGAAUCCUCUGACUUGUUUCUCGGUACGAGGUAUAGGCAUUUCUUGAAUGGCUUUAACCUUGGCGGGAUCAACCUCAAUACCUUUGCUGCUGACGAUGAAACCUAAGAGUUUGCCGGAUCUUACUCCAAAGGUACACUUAUUUGGGUUCAGUCGUAACUUGUAUUUCUUGAGUCUGUCAAACAACUUGUGUAAAUGACCCAGAUGUUCUUCCUCGGUGUUGGAUUUUGCAAUCAUGUCAUCGACAUACACCUCUAUUUCUUGAUGAAUCAUAUCAUGAAAUAGCGCUACCAUUGCACGUUGAUAGGUUGCUCCUGCGUUUUUCAGACCAAAGGGCAUUACUUUGUAACAAAAGGUUCCCCAGGGUGUUGUGAAGGUUGUUUUUUCCAUGUCUUCGGGUGCCAUCUUGAUUUGAUUGUACCCUGAGAAUCCGUCCAUAAAGGAGAAUACCUUGCAUUGUGCGGUAUUGUCAACCAGUACAUCGAUAUGUGGUAAAGGGAAAUCAUCUUUGGGGCUUGCCCGGUUCAGAUCUCUGUAGUCCACGCACAUUCUGACUUUCCCGUCUUUUUUAGGUACAGGCACGAUGUUAGCUAUCCAAGGAGGAUAACUUACAACUUUUAGGAAUCCGGCAUUGAACUGUUUUUCAACCUCGUCUUUGAUCUUUUUUGACAUAUCAGGCCUGCUCCUUCGUAGUUUCUGUUUGACUGGAGUGCUACCUUCUUUGAUUGGCAGGCGAUGAACUACAAUGUCCGUGUCAAGGCCUGGCAUAUCCUCAUAGGACCAAGCGAAUAUCUCGACGUAGUCUCGCAGCAUUUGAAUCAGUCUUUGCUUGAUGCUGUGUUCUAAAUCAGCCCCUAUUUUGACUUCUUUCUUUUCUUCGUUGCUGCCCAAGUUGAUGACCUCAAUUGGCUCCUCGUGAGGCUGUAUGGCCUUGUCUUCUUGUUCUAGCAGCCUUGCAAGUUCUCUUGGCACUUCACAAUCUUCCUCACUUUCGUCCUCAGUUUGGUAGAUCGGACUUUCAAAGUCAUGACGGGCAAUAGCAGAAUCGUUGUUGACUGGAUCCAGAGUGUAUGUGAAUCUGCAUGUUAGUUAUGUGAGUGUGUGUGAAGAAAAAACAUAGCUAUUUGAAAGCGAAGAAAGAAAAAAAAAGGAUCACAAAAUUUAAAUAUGCAAGCGUCCCAUGAUUUUAUUGAAUGCACAUGAUCAUGAUAUGAUAAGCCCUUAUAGAAGGACCAGUGUGCUAAGGCACACGGCUUUCAAGCUCAUGGUUCGAUUGUUCAGGAACCAUUUUUAUCUUUGCACAAUAUACACAAAGAGAACAGGAAAUGGCAUUUACUCCUGGUCAAAGGAGAUCACAUCCUCAGCUUUCCAGUUGUUCAAUCCACUGUUGUGAGCAGGGAGUAUCCAGCUGUUCCAGUUGCAGUUGUCUUCUUCAUCUUCCACAGCAUUGAUUUCAUUAGUGGGAAAAUGAGCCGGUGAUCCUUCGGGAUAAGGGAUAUACUCUGCUGGAUACGAGAACCCAGGCUGAGAUAUCUCUGUUGGCUGAGCGAGAUGCUCGAUAAGGCCGUCCCAUGCAGUCGGGAUGAUGUUUUGAAUAGAGACUUGUGCAUCCUGAUGAGGAGAGUAUGCUGACAGAAAGCAACCCUCGUUAUUUGGUAUUUCCCUGGCUUUUUCAAGAGCGAAAUUGUCAUCGUACUGUUCAUCCCAUCCAGUUGGGACAAUGUCCUCCAUAGCAAUUUGUGAGCUCGGAGGAGCGGAGUAUUUCACCAUAUAGUCAUAUUUGCCGCUGGGUUCUCCUAGCGUGUCCCAUACUUCUUUGGGUGGAUUUUGAUAUUGCUCAGUGACGGGACUUGUGAAACUUUCGUCAUUUCCAAUUUGAUCACCCCAUCCAGUCGGGGUAAUGUCUUCCAUAGCAAUAUAAGAAUUCUGAGGUGUGGUAUACUGAUAAUUAUACCCGCCAUUUGGUUCUCCCACAGCAUCCCACAUUCCCAUGGAAAUGGGUGGAAUCUCAUCUGGAUAUGGCUGAAUGAUAUGGUUCAAGAACACUCCUUCAUCUUCAAUAGCGUUUACUUCUUGGCUGACGAAGUGUGACAUUAAUCCUCCAGAUAGAGGACCCUGAUCAUUCUUUUGAUCUUCACUAUCAUAGCCCAGUCCUAGCUUGUCAGACUUGUAGGGUAUAUCGGGAAGCUGUCCCCAUACUGUGCAAUCACCCUGUUCAAUCAUGGCUUUGGCAUCUUUGAGAGAAGCCAUAGUUGUAGUUGGAGUAGCAGGAAUAUGCUUGGUGGUAGAUACAUCUGGGGAGACCACCUCAAAUGAUUGGCAUGGAGUUUCGAUGAAUUCGUCCUCCAACUCAACAUAUUUGGAAUUGCUUAGGUGACUAACCACAUAUUCCUCUUCGCCAUAGACUGUGACAAUCUUUCCUUUUACUGGAUAUUUUAACUUCUGAUGCAGGGUAGAAGUUACAGCGUUUGCCCCAUGUAUCCAAGGGCGUCCAAGUAAACAGGAGUAGGCUGGGUGAAUUUCCAUUACGUAAAAGAUAGAAUCGAAGAUUUGAGAACCCACUCUGAUUGGGAGAUUCACUUUUCCGUAUACCGUUCUUGUUGACCCGUCAAAGGCUCUUACCACAACAUCACUUGGUUGUAACACAAUUCCUUCGAAGUCAAGCUUUUCUAGUACUGUUUUCGAUAACACGUUCAAAGAAGAACCGUUAUCUACUAGCACAUGAGAUAGAGUGGUGCCAUUACAUUCAAUAGAGAUAUGUAGGGCUUUGUUGUGAUUUUUUCCAGCAGGGGUCAGAUCCACAUCAGAGAAACCGAGACCAUUGCUCAUGGUUAGAUUGGCAACACAAUUCUCGAAUUGGUCGACUGAGAUCUCUUGAGGCACAUGCGCAGCUUUAAGGAACUUCAUCAGAGCUUUGGCAUGGGCUUCUGAAUAUUUUAGCAGGGAUAGCAUUGAGAUUUUUGAAGCGGUGUGCCCCAGUUGCUCAACAAUAUUGUAAUCACUCUUGCAGAUGAUUUUCAAUAUUUCCUCCAUUUCUUGCUUUGAUGGAUCCUCAGCAGUGAUCUCAACCGGGGUUUGAACUUGUUCAACUUGUGGCUCUUUGCCUCGAGCGCUGUUAUCUUGAUUAGGAACUGGGACUCGGACUGGACCAGCAGCAACAUUUGGAGAAAUUUCUGGUGAAAAGAUUCUUCCACUUCUCGUGAUCUUGCUGGUACCCACAAUAUUACCCACAGUUGGAGUAGUUAACUUUGCGGCCUCUUCAGUCGAGGUACCCUGCUUAACUCCAUGAACGUAAACAUUAGUGUCGUAUCCCCAUGGGACAGCUUUGUCUGAGGAGUAUGGAAAUGGAGUUGGACUAGCAAUGACUACUAAUGCCACUUUGAGUGUAGCAGAAAUUUUGAAUGGAGCCUUGGCAGAGAUUUUGAAUGGUAAGCUGGAGAUCACUGAGGCAUCCUCUAUUCUCAUCCUGUUUGCAAAGACUUCGCAUAGCACGUCCAUAGAAGGGAGCCUCUCAAACAUAAUGAUACGGCGAUCCAUCCAUUUUUGAAUUCCCAUUCUUAGAUUUUCACAACCAUUGGGCAGGCAGGAGCAGUAAAAGCAGUCGGGGUCACACCCUGGAAAGUAACCAGCUCGGAUUAGCUUUCCUUUGACUUCACAGAGUGGAGUUGAUAAUUCAUUCACAUCAUAGAUGUAAACAGUGUCUAGGAUAGCGUUGACAGUUUUGUCAUGCUUUGGCAUAGGUGCAGUGAUGACAUUUGGAGUUUCUGGAGGAUCGAACUCAAUUUCCCCAGCAUCUAUCAUAUCUUGUAUUUUAUUUUUCAGGGCCCAGCAGUGAUCUGCGUCAUGUCCUGGACAGUUUGAGUGAUAGGCACAUGUCGCAUCAGGGCGAUAAUUCGGAGAGGAAGUGUUGACAUUCUUUGGAGGACCUUUUAAUGUGAUCAGAUCUGCUUUUAGCAAGUGCUGCAAUGCCUGAGAGAUUGGCAUGUUGAUUCUGGUGAAAUUUCUUCGUGGUGCAUCUGGUCGAUGCGUAUAUUUUAGCUGUUGAUCUUUUUGAGGCGCAGAUGCGGAGAUCAGAACUGCCCCUACAGAUUGAUGCUGCUCACUUUUGCGACUUUUCUGAAUUUGUGUUGCAUUGACCUCAUUUCUCCCGCUGAUGGGCCUUUUUGUAGUACCAGAGGAGGAACCUAUUUGAAUUUUUCCAUUUUGAAUGCCACUUUCGACACGUUCUCCGGUCAGUAUCAGGUCAGUGAAACCUGAUGAUGAGCUUCCCAGCAAAUGGCUAUAGAAAGGGCCAGUUAAAGUGCCCAUGAACAUGUCGACUAGUUCGCGAUCAGAUAAGGGUGGUUGAACCCUUCCAGCCAUAUCUCUUCACUUUUGUGCAUAUCCUUUGAAACUUUCUUUUGGUCCCAUAGACAUGCCCCUUAGUUGAGUACGGGUUGGCGCAAGAUCAACAUUGUAUUGGUACUGUUUGUAAAAGGCAGCAGCUAAUUCUUCCCAAGUAUAAACCUUAGUAUUUUCCAGCUGGUAGUACCACUCGAGUUGUGUACCCGACAAACUUUCUUGGAAGAAGUGAAUCCACAAUUUGUUAUCUGUUGUAUGAGGUUGUAUCUUCCUCACAUAGGAUCUCAGGUGUAGUUUCGGGCAGGAAACUCCAUCAUAUUUUGCAAAGACAGGAACUUUGAAUUUUGGAGGGAUAACAACAUCCCAGAUGAGCCCCAAAUCAUUGAAAUCUAAGCCAGGUACUUUUUGUAUCUCCAUAGCUUUCAUACGGUCUUCCAGCUUUUGGUAUUUGUCAUCAUCCGGUUCGUCCCCAGAAUGAUCAUCUUCUUCAUUUGAAGAGAGAGAGGGUUUAGCAGAACCCUGGUUGCUUUGAUUGUCUUCUUGUUUACCAUCACCGACUGUUUCAGGGAUCGGUGGCUUUUUGAACUUUUUGACUGGGAUUUUGAUCUUCCUUUUUAGGUGACUCACGCCUACAGAUCCUUUGGGCUUCUUUUUCUUCUUGAUUAUCAGGGCUUUCAGUUCUUGUUGCCCCUUUGCCAGUUCCAGAAUUGCCACUUGAACUUGGGCAUUCUGUGCUUCGAGAUUCUUGAUGCUUGUCUCAGAUUCCAUCUCUUCUGACUGAAAUAAACAGCGAGGAGAUGAGAAAUCCGUCAUGAGAACCUGCUAUGCAAUGCGUAUGACUGGAUGCAAUGUAUAUGAAUGAAAUGUAUAUGCAAUGUAUAUGAAUGCAAUGUAUGCAAUGCAUGAAAUGAAAUGUGCGUGCAAUGUUUCAAGGAUCUUAGAGUUUAGAUUUGUUAAAGAAGAAACAAACGUUAGUUAAUCAAUUUAUUCUUUUUUUUCUUUGCCUCAUUUGGGCUUACAAGACAGAAAUAAAAUAAAUGAUUCUUCAGGUCUCCCUUGGACGCUUUCUCUUUGCCCCCAGGAAUGUGUUGAUCUGCCGUUCUUCUUGAAGCUGUCCGGUGAGCUCCAAUAUCCUUCUCUCAUAGUCCUGACAGUGUGCUUUGAAGGUGUCUCUUUCCUCUUUGAGUUGAACCCAAGAUUUUUGCAACUCUUCUAGGUCAGUUGGCAUAUCCGGGUGCAGAAUAACUUGAGGUUCGUAUCCUUCGACCUCUGGUUCAAUAGUCACAGGUAGUGUUAGACGCUGGCCUUAGGAUCUAGAGGGGGGGUGAAUAGAUCGUUCACAGUUUUACGGAGUUAAAUGACUUUUCAGCGGAAGUGAUUCUGAAUCGACUUGCGUCUAUUCCAAACCACUAUCGAAACGAUUGUAUAUGUGUUUAAAAAACCAGUCAAAAACUUGAGGUAAGUGAUAAGAGUAUACGUUGCAGAAUCAAAGCGUUGCUCUUAUUUAAAAUCAGAUUAACUUCUUGUAUGAUGGACAAUGUUUGCAAUGCAGUAAGAGUGAUAGAAACAAAUAUACAAACACUUGGUGAUAAUGAUCAAAUUGAUGGUGAUUCAAUAUGUGAUGGAUUGUGAUAUUUAUAUAGGUUCUUAAUUCACAAUCUUAACACUCGAAUCGUUGAUCAAUUUGCUAUUAUAACCAAAUAUGAACAGAAUGUAAAUGAAAAAUUAAAAGCGACAAGAACACGAUAUUUGUUUAGGCAGUUCGUUGAUCGUCCUCGCUACGACUACGUCUGCCCCCAAUUCCAAAUUGAAAUUGGGUAAUCUUUCAUUAAUGUUGAAAGUAGUAUAUACAAAGAAGAUAACAAAGCGAUAAACGAUAAACCAAUUAUGUCGAUCCUUUGAAUCUUCUUCCCCCUUAAUCUUGAACAAGAUCAAGGUUAUCCAAGAGCUUCACUUUGAUUCCCUUCUGCAGUGUCUUGAUUCCUUGAACUCCCCGUUCCUCAAUCGUUACACUCAGCCGAAUCCUCAAUGAACGCCUCUUGAUAAAAACCCCCAAGAACCACCCGUCGUGGAGGACAAAACCCGCAGAUUUUAUUCACCAACAAACCCCACAAACCUUCACCCACUAGGAAUCUUCAAUUCCGUUCCAUGGACGUUAUCGAACUCAUCACUAACCCGCAACGCAAGAAUGAUUAUGUGUAAUUGUGUUGGAGAUGAUGAAGAACGAAGAUGAGAAGCGUUUGUGUAUCUUUCAGUCGUUGGUGUUGCCUUGAAUAAUUGAACCUUUGAUAAUAUAUAUGAUAGCUUAAUAGUUGGAGAUGAGAGAAACAAGAUUUUUGGCAUUCUUGAUCAGUUAGGUCGACCUCUUGUAGAGCUUAGGUCGACCUAGCAGUGCUUGCAGAAUUUUGCUCCCAGUUAGGUCGACCUGUUAAAGGAGUAGGUCGACCAGAAUCCCCUUCAGAUGCGUUCUGGGAACAAUUUCUUAGGUUAGGUCGACCUAGUUGUUGUGUAGGUCGACCUAGCAGACUGAUAUGUAGAUUUCUUCAUUUUAGGUCGACCUGGGUUGACAGUAGGUCGACCUAACUGCUGAUUUUCUGCACUCUUCUUGUUCUGCUUGUGUUGAGUCGACCUAUAUGCAUAGUAGAUCAACCUGUACUAUCAUGAGUGAUCAAUGCUUGCUUUUCUUUGAGCUUUCUG